rnacentral:rRNA from 1 species
UACGGAGGGUGCGAGCGUUGUCCGGAAUCACUGGGCGUAAAGGGCGCGUAGGCGGCCUGAUAAGUAGGGGGUGAAAUCCUGCGGCUUAACCGCAGGGCUGCCUUCUAAACUGUCAGGCUAGAGCACAGUAGAGGCAGGUGGAAUUCCCGGUGUAGCGGUGGAAUGCGUAGAGAUCGGGAAGAACAUCAGUGGCGAAGGCGGCCUGCUGGGCCGACACUGACGCUGAGGCGCGAAAGCCAGGGGAGCAAACGGG